ensembl:lncRNA
CCUGUUUCCAUUGCAGCUGGGAGAUAGGAAGGGCAGAAGAAAAGCGCAAGUGCCAGGAGAAGAGGAUCCUGGAGGAGGGCCAGGAAACACAGCUAUAAAGAGAUUUGCUCUCUGUUUGAGGUUUUAGGAGCAAUGGAUCAAGGAUGACCCAAUUUAGGAGCUUUCCCAUCAGAGUGGAAAAUGCAUGAAGUUUACUCAUCUUCACCACAGAAGGACAGAACGUUGAGAAGAUGGGAUCUGUCAUGAAACAACUGUUCAAAGGAACAAACCCUUCUUAUAGAAAAAACAGGGAGGCAUGUCAGUCGGAUAUAAAGGCUGAAGUGAU